rnacentral:lncRNA from 1 species
AGGAAUUCAAGAAGCAGAAUCCUGAGAAGUUGAUGAAGAUUACUCAGAGGGUGAUGUCUGUGAUGCUCCUGUUUCCAUCCAGCAGGAAAUUAAACUGUAGGAAAUGUAGCCCUAGGUAGGAAGGAUGAACACUUAGUUUUGUGUACAUUGAAUGUGAGGUAUCCCUGAGGUAUCUAAGGGAAAAAAGUAAUGCAAAGUAAUGUCAGCAAUGUCCUCUGUCAUGCUCAGAAGAUCGAUAUUGCACUUUAUGAAUGACCUCGUUGCCGCUUAACUAAGGAGAGAAAAAGAGAGGUUAGAGGGCUUUCAUUGCACUGGCCUCUUUUCUUUCCCAGAGCCCCUUCUCCAGAGACUUCCCCGACAUCUCACUGACAAGAAAUGAGUCCAGGUCAUAUCCUUCCAGCAACCACUGCCAAUGGUGCCAGCAUAAUUGGUUUGGAGUUUGCAGCCAGAUACUUUUGAUGUUGGAGAUUACUGUGUGCAUCAGUGGGUGCAGAAGGCUGAUUUGGGCCAGACUGUCACCUACCCUCACCCGCCUCCAAUUACCUGGAUGAUGUAUUAG